CCAGCCAUGCCGCGUGCAGGAUGACGGUCCUAUGGAUUGUAAACUGCUUUUAUACGAGAAGAAACACUCCUUCGCGAAGGAGCUUGACGGUAUCGUAAGAAUAAGGAUCGGCUAACUCCGUGCCAGCAGCCGCGGUAAUACGGAGGAUCCNAGCGUUAUCCGGAAUCAUUGGGUUUAAAGGGUCCGUAGGCGGUUUANUAAGUCAGUGGUGAAAGCCCAUCGCUCAACGGUGGAACGGCCAUUGAUACUGAUAAACUUGAAUUAUUAGGAAGUAACUANAAUAUGUAGUGUAGCGGUGAAAUGCUUAGAGAUUACAUGGAAUACCAAUUGCGAAGGCAGGUUACUACUAAUGGAUUGACGCUGAUGGACGAAAGCGUGGGUAGCGAACAGGAUUAGAUACCCUGGUAGUCCACGCCGUAAACGAUGGAUACUAGCUGUUGGAAGCAAUUUCAGUGGCUA
rnacentral:rRNA from 1 species